AGAACGAACGCUGGCGGCAUGCCUAAAACAUGCAAGUCGAACGAACUCUUCGGAGUUAGUGGCGCACGGGUGCGUAACGCGUGGGAAUCUGCCCCUUGGUUCGGAAUAACAGUUGGAAACGACUGCUAAUACCGGAUGAUGACGAAAGUCCAAAGAUUUAUCGCCAAGGGAUGAGCCCGCGUAGGAUUAGCUAGUUGGUGAGGUAAAGGCUCACCAAGGCAACGAUCCUUAGCUGGUCUGAGAGGAUGAUCAGCCACACGUGGGACUGGAGA
rnacentral:rRNA from 1 species